GUGGAUUAGAAAGACAUUGUGAAAUAGGAAGAGAUUUCAGGAAUGUUUCCUAAAGCUUUAUGUCCUACCAUAGCUAUAGAAGCUCUUACUGAAAAAGUAAUUAUUCUCUUCCUAAGGCACAAAAAAGUACACAUUUCCGUACGAAAAGUCGCCAACUCUCAAGAAGUUCAACUCUCUCUAACAGUCAUAUCUCAAAGAAAGCUAUAUAAGGAGGACUCACACAAGAUAAUAGAUGAACUUUUGCUACCAUUGUAUCGUUACGUUGUUAUUCUCUCAAUAAACUUACAUCAUCUGAGUAUGUU
rnacentral:lncRNA from 1 species